rnacentral:lncRNA from 1 species
UUAGUUUUGGAAAUUUACGGAGAUCCGACCGUUGGAUGGUAAUGAAAUUUUAGGAGGUUAUCCUAGAGAUAUAUUGUGGACCUCUGGAAGUUAUGGAUUUAAAAUCUGAGUGGCAGAUCUUUCGGAUCGAACUACGUAGUGACGUAUUUUAUAUAAGUUAUAUAUUCUAUCGAUAUGAAUUCUGAGGUUGGAUUUGAUUACUAUUCUAGGCGGCGAUCGUCGUGACGCCUUGAUGUGUGGUGCUAGGGAGUUGUUGGACGAACUCCAGGUGAAUGGGCAGUUUUGUUUUCCGUAUAUAUAUAUACUUGACGUUUCCCAGAAAUUGAAUUGAAAUGAAAAUAUGUUUAAAAUGAAAUGCAUAUGAGUUAUGUGGAAAAACGGGAAGUGAAAUACCAUGCAUAGAAUUGAUAUGAAAAGUAUAUAGAAAUGUGAAUUGAAAUGCCAUGCAUGAAUUAAUAUAUGAUGCAUAUGUAUGAAUUGGUGCGGUGGACGCACAGGUAAGAAUUGAUUUAUGAUGCAUAUGUAUGAAUUGGUGCGGUGGACGCACAGGUAAGAAUUGAUUUAUGAUGCAUAUGUAUGAAAUGGUGCGGUGGACGCACAUGUGAGUAUUUAUUUCUGUUAUGAUGAUGUUGAUGUAUAUUGAGCUCAAAUCCUGCACCAUAGUUUAGUGCUUAUAGUAUUCACCGCAUCGCACGCUCGUCUUGGAUCCAAGUAGAUGCUAGUCGUACAGUCCACGCGGAGUGGGUACGACAGGCCAGUCGCGAGAGUGUUAGUGAGAUUCCGACUGGUGGGUGACCUUAGAUUAUGUGCACAGAUGAUUAUGAAAAGCACUAGAGCGUAACUUAUGUGCAGAAGGCCGUACAGGUCACGCGGAGUGACUCCGGCAGAGAGUGAGAGUGAUAGAUUUUGAGCUCUAGGUUCAACCGUACAGGGCUAUUAGAGGGCCUACGGUUGAUUACUUUCUUGCACCUGAUAUGAUUAUGUUGAUGCAUUCAUACCUUAUUACUGUUGAGAUGAUGUGGCAUGGCAUAAUUAAUAUGAGAAAUGUUGAGAUGAUGUGGCAUGACAUAAUUGUUAUGAAAAUGUUGAGUUAACGACUUGAAGUUUUGAGAAUAUAUAUGUAUAUUUAUAUUUUACAUUUCUGGGAAAGUAUACAGGUUUUACGGAGAGGGGUUACAAUGCUUUGAGAAAAAAUUGGAUUUGAAAAGAAUUGUUUUACUGACCCACUCAAUUUUGGUUUUGCGCCCCUCCAGGUUCAGGAAUCACAAAGGUGUGGUGACUACGAGGAAUUCGACGGUGUUCUGACAGAUUGGACAAAAUUAGGACUCACCUUCGGGUGUAUCAACUUAUAAAUUGUAUCUUAAAGCUUCCGUGCUGUGCAAAUGGUUACGUCACUCUCACGUGACGGCCAGCAUGCCCUCCUUCGGGACGGGGUGUGUCAGUUGGUAUCAGAGUAUGGUUGCAAUCUUGGACAUCUUGAGAAGUUUAUAGUGAAUUCUGUCAGAACUACACCGCCUCGUAGCAAGCCACUUAGUUAGAGGAAUUUAGUCUCCCUAAUAUAGCGGUUUAGGGGAAACUAUUAUUAUGGUGAUUCAGUCUAUUAUAAAAAGGGACAUUUUAAGACGGAUUAUGAGUCGAAUUUGAAUCACCUUAUGAAAUAAUGAACCAGAGGGAACGAAGUGACGGUUUAACCGUUUGGAAAAGAUGUUUCAGAUUAUGCAAGUUAAAGGAAAUUUCCUUCUGACAAGGGGUCGAGACGACUACCUGGUUUUGGGUAUGAAUUUGUAUCCUGGUGGAAACAGGAUUGUUAAUUGUUGUCACCGGAGGAAACAGCUGAUUGAGAAUUAUUUAAGGACUUGUUUAAGGAAAAGUUUAUCCCCCGGCAUUUAUCGAUGGUAGUAAACAAGAGUUUACAAAUAUGAGACAAGGAAGGUGAUGAUCGAGGGAUAUUAUAGAAAGUUUUCAGACUUGCCUCGUUCCAUCCAGAUAUUGUUGUUAAUUUGGUGGAGGUGUUAUGUUGUUUUAGGCUGGGUGACAAAAAGGGAAGUGGUAUUUUGGGUGACCACUAUCCAUUGUACUUCUUACCAGGAAUAUACGAGAUGCUGUUGAGUCUUGAGGACUCUGAGAACAUGAGCAACGAGAAUAAAGAAGAAUAAGAAAUGAAUGGGAAUCAAAAGAAGACGAUAAAGUUAAUGAUUCGUCAUAUCAAGGAUAUAGAAAGAUUCAGAGCUUCGAAAGAAGUGAAGCUAGAGUUAAUUCUUCCAGCUGAGGUUUUAACGCCACUAGUCAGAGGCGAAGUGAUGGAUAUACUGGUAAUCCCAGAUUUUUGAGACAAGGUGUCUCGAGUACAGGAAAUGUACCUUGUGCAGCAGGUACAAAAUUAACACUUUGGGAAGUGUGAAAUUAAUGAAUGUGUUUAUGUGAACAGAGGGGACACAGAAUUGUGAAUCGUCCCUAAAAUCAGUUGUACCCAACAGUUUUCUAUGACAUCGUAGUAUCGAUUCAGCAGGUUUAUGGAUUUAGUAGUUUGGUCGGAUUGACCGUGGGUACAGAGAGAUUUGAUGAGUUAUAUGUUCAGCCAUACAGGCCACGAGAGGUGGAUCUGGCUGACGCAUGAGAAAUUGGUGAGUUAUAGGCUCGGCCGUACCGACCACGUGGAGUGGAUCCGGCCGACGUAUUAUUGAGAUAAGAGUUGAAUCAGCCGUAUUGGUCAUUCUAGUUGACUUCGGCUGAUAUAUUUCUUAUUAUGUAUGUUAUUACCUAGAGAGUAGUAAAUAAAUGUAGUUGAGACGAGUGUAUGUAUUUUGCAUUGAGUGACAAAAUAGUAAUGUUAUAUCUUUGAGAGUGGUUGCCUACUUAUCGAGACAACGAUGAUUUAUCAGUAUUGCGGGCUGCAGACCGUAAUAUUAAUAACUCAUUCGUGGAUUCGUUAAGCAAGCAACCCGGUAGAUUAUUUUAUGUUAGUAUUGUACUUAUUUAGAAUGCUUAAUAAUGAUAGAAUAUAUAUUGUAUCAGUUAAUUUUGUUCCAUUAGAUUGGUUGGUUAUAAUUGUGACAAGACGGAAUGUUACGGGAAACCAGUAUUUUCCAUCGAUCUGGAUGACCAGGGAUUUCUUUUGUAAGUAUGCAAAGUGGAUUGAGUCAGGCCGUUAUUUAUGCUGUGAAAGCAAAGAGAUUGUUUUGAAAGGCUGCCCAAAAAAAAAAUACUUAGUUCAUGUGGUACUAAAGGAUGUUGCUCGGAGAAGUGUGAAAAAUGAAAAAGGGGUUAGACUUUUCUUGAUGUCUUCCCUGAAGUAUACCUGGAUUGUCUUCAGGCAUAGAUAUGAGGUUCAUUAUUGAUUUGUUACCAGGUAUAAAUUUAUAUUGGAGAUUGGUUCAGGAUGAGUUAAGGGAAUUGGAAAUUCAGUUGAGAGAAUUGGUUGAUAAAAGUUUUAUUCAACCUAGUACAACACUUUUGAGGAGCCCCAGUUUGUUGGUGAAAAAGAAAAUGGACUUAGAGAUUGUGCAUUGAUUAUAGACAAUGGAAUUGGUAACGAUCGAGAACCGUUAUCCAUGGUGCGUUGAUGUUUGUUUGACCAGCUCAAAGGUAUUUGUGUAUUUUCAAAAGAUUGAUUGAGGUCUGGUUAUUACCAAUUGAAGAUUUUGAGCGACAUUGAUCAUAAGAUAGUUUUCUGGACUUGUUAUAGUCUUUAUGAAGUUUGGUGAUGCUAUAUGGAUACUCAUGCUGUUUUAUGAGUUGAUGGAUGAAGUAUUCCAAUAAUGCUUUGAUAAUUGAUAUCAUUUUCGUUGAAGAUAUUCUGGCAUAUUAUGAGCCAGAGCAGAGCAUGUAAACGUAUUAAGUCGGUGGAACAAAGAUUGGAAGAAUGUCGAUUGUAUGCUAAGUUUAGCAAAUGCGAAAGUUAGAUGAAUCAGGUGGCAUUCUGAGAUUGGUUAUAUCUGCUUAAGGUAUUCAAAUGAAUUCUUAAAAGGCAGCAGAAUUGAGAAAUUGGAACAACCACAAGCCAUAAUUGAGAUUCGGAAAUUCUUAACUUAUCAGGCUAUUUUGGAUGGUUGUGAAAGAAUUUUUAGUCAUUGCUUUGUCAUUGACAAGACUGUUGAGAAAGGAGGUUAUGUAUGAGUGGGAAGGAAAUUGUGAGCAAAGGAUUCAACAACUGGAGUAUUUCCUCACUCAUGCACGUAUUUUAGUAAUCCCAGAAGAUAGCGGUAAUUAUUGGUUUAUGGUGAUGGUACAUUAAAUAUUCUUGGAGAUGUAUUGAUGCAAAUGUUAGGGUGAUUGAAUAUGUUUCACGACAAAUGGAACCUAAUGAGAUGAAUUACCCUACUGGUGACUUGGAAGUCACGAUUAUCAUCCUUGCUGUGAAGUUGUGGAGACAUUAUAUGUUGAAAAGAAUGCAAGAUUUUACAAAUCAAAAGAGUCUCCAAUAUUUGUUUAUUCGGAAGGAUUUUGAUAUGAGGCAACAAAGGUGAAUUGUAUUACUUAAUGAACAUGAUGGUACGAUCAGGGUGAUCGUGAAUUGUUGUAGCUGAAGCACUUGGUGAGAAGACUACAGUAUGAUUAAUGUCUGGCACGUUUGCCAAGAGUAUCAUCUUGUGAAUUGAAAACCAACGGAAGAAAAAUUAAGAAUGGAAGAUCGAGAAGAAGUUAUACUUGUUAAAUUUCAAGUUAGGCCUGUUUGGUAAGGUCGUACUCGAAACUUAAAUGCUUGACGAAGAAAUUUAAGAAUUAACCAAGGUAGAGAAAGAAGGUAAGUUAAAUCCUAAGUGAAUCGGACUUAAGUGAUUAUCGAAAAGUUGGUGAAGUUGCUUACAAGCUUGUGAUGCCCUCAGAAUUAAAACAGGGUAAGUGGUAAAAGUUUUGUGAAGAAAUUAUUCGGUGGAAGAAAUUACGUGGGAGAAAGAGAAUCGGAUGAGAGAGAUUUACCCGAGGCUAUUGUAUGAGUAUGGUUGAUUUAGUUGGUUGCUGGAAUUUCGGGGACGAAAUUCUAUAAGGAGGGAAGAUUGUCACAGCCCGUCCCGGGAUUUUUCAUUCCGAGGACGUGAAAUUUCAAAAAUGACCUUAAACGAGAUUAAGGUGUGUAAAGAGAUGACAUUUGUUUUAUUUAAAGUUCCUGAACUAUGGUUAAUUUGUGUUAGGGACUAAAACUAGGUUGUAAUGUUGUGUUUGGGUUAAGGUGGGAUCCUCAUACCUCAAAACACUCCCUAAAACCCGUAACCUUUCCUUCUCUCUCUUCUUCUUCCAUUUCAGAUCUCUCUCUCUCCCACCCUCUCGAACACACGGCAACCACCAAGACCACCACAAAAACACCCUAAACUUCCACCAACGACGGAUUUAAGAGUGCCAUCGUACUCCUGAAGACCAUACGAUCACGAUGAUACCCAUUUCAAGUAAGUUUCACUUCGAAAACCCUAGUUUCUAAAGUUGCCGUGAAUGUGUACUGUUCAUGAGCUUUGAAUUGGUCGUGUUUUAGGCCAAACCAAGCUCAUAGUGAGCUUUAGGAAGUCCCAAGGAAGCUCGGAGUGCUUCGUUGGAAGUUUUUGGACGUAAGAACACGGAGAUCGACAAGUUCAAAGUUUGGCCGGAGCUUUCGAGGCUUUUUCCGACAAAUCCCCGGCGAGUUAGGAGUCGAGGUAGGUAUCAAUCUCUUCGUCUCGUCAAGUACUACAACUUUCCUUUUUGUUUCACUCAAUUUCGUUGAGUAUUGAAGAAGUUAUACUCAUUUGAAAAAUACUCAGUUUCCGGCGACCUCCGAGGCUUUCGAGGCAGUUUCCGGCCAAACCACGGCGAACUAGGUGUUGUGCAAGGUACCAUUCUCUUUGUCUCUUCAAGGGAUACAACUCUCGUUUUUGAAUCACUUGAUUUCGUUGAGAAAUGACAAAGUUAUGGCAAUUUGAAAAACUGCCCGGAAAACGGCCGCCGGAAAAACCAGUCCGGCGACCCAAGGAAGAAGAAGGUGCUACAGUAAAAAAAAUAAAAAUAAAAUUAUUUUAAAAAUAUGUCGACGUCCGUGACGUCGAGUAGAUCACCGUGGUAUAUUCAUAUACCCAAAUUGAGCACCGUAUGAGAAAGUUAUUAAGGAUUGUUGGUUAGGUGUUCGAAUAACGUUUUAUAGUUUUCACAUUUAGGUAAAAAUGUGAAUUGACGAUCCGACCGUUGGAUCGUUACCAAACUUUGAUACGUUGUAAUACGUAAUAUUUGAGGAUUAUUGGAACUUACGGAUUGGGAAUCCGAGUUACGGAUCUUCCGGAAUUGGAAUUGUAAGUCCAUAAUAUAAAAUGUUAACCGUCACUUAGUUUUGGAAAUUUACGGAGAUCCGACCGUUGGAUGGUAAUGAAAUUUUAGGAGGUUAUCCUAGAGAUAUAUAUUGUGGACCUCUGGAAGUUAUGGAUUUAAAAUCUGAGUGGCAGAUCUUUCGGAUCGAACUACGUAGUGACGUAUUUUAUAUAAGUUAUAUAUUUCUAUCGAUAUGAAUUCUGAGGUUGGAUUUGAUUACUAUUCUAGGCGGCGAUCGUCGUGACGCCUUGAUGUGUGGUGCUAGGGAGUUGUUGGACGAACUCCAGGUGAAUGGGCAGUUUUGUUUUCCGUAUAUAUAUAUACUUGACGUUUCCCAGAAAUUGAAUUGAAAUGAAAAUAUGUUUAAAAUGAAAUGCAUAUGAGUUAUGUGGAAAAAACGGGAAGUGAAAUACCAUGCAUAGAAUUGAUAUGAAAAGUAUAUAGAAAUGUGAAUUGAAAUGCCAUGCAUGAAUUAAUAUAUGAUGCAUAUGUAUGAAUUGGUGCGGUGGACGCACAGGUAAGAAUUGAUUUAUGAUGCAUAUGUAUGAAUUGGUGCGGUGGACGCACAGGUAAGAAUUGAUUUAUGAUGCAUAUGUAUGAAAUGGUGCGGUGGACGCACAUGUGAGUAUUUAUUUCUGUUAUGAUGAUGUUGAUGUAUAUUGAGCUCAAAUCCUGCACCAUAGUUUAGUGCUUAUAGUAUUCACCGCAUCGCACGCUCGUCUUGGAUCCAAGUAGAUGCUAGUCGUACAGUCCACGCGGAGUGGGUACGACAGGCCAGUCGCGAGAGAGUGUUAGUGAGAUUCCGACUGGUGGGUGACCUUAGAUUAUGUGCACAGAUGAUUAUGAAAAGCACUAGAGCGUAACUUAUGUGCAGAAGGCCGUACAGGUCACGCGGAGUGACUCUGGCAGAGAGUGAGAGUGAUAGAUUUUGAGCUCUAGGUUCAACCGUACAGGGCUAUUAGAGGGCCUACGGUUGAUUACUUUCUUGCACCUGAUAUGAUUAUGUUGAUGCAUUCAUACCUUAUUACUGUUGAGAUGAUGUGGCAUGGCAUAAUUAAUAUGAGAAAUGUUGAGAUGAUGUGGCAUGACAUAAUUGUUAUGAAAAUGUUGAGUUAACGACUUGAAGUUUUGAGAAUAUAUAUGUAUAUUUAUAUUUUACAUUUCUGGGAAAGUAUACAGGUUUUACGGAGAGGGGUUACAAUGCUUUGAGAAAAAAUUGGAUUUGAAAAGAAUUGUUUUACUGACCCACUCAAUUUUGGUUUUGCGCCC